CGUUAGGGCUCACCGAAGGGUGCACAACAAACUCUACCUGUUCAGAGCAGCAGAAACCAAAAGCUGUUGAUGGGAAGGGGAUUAACCAGAACUGUAUUGCAGCCUGACAGUGCAGGGAGAGAACCAUGAAUUGCAUAACCGAUAAGCAGCAGAACCUCUCAGAAGGAAGAUUCAGAGACUUUGAUCUUUGGACUAUUCCUUGGUCUCACAAUUAUCUGCAGCACAAUAAUUGAAAGCACUAAUCUAUUUUUCACAGUAGCUUAGUCUGGGACAUGUAGCUUCUGGGCAGCUCAGCUGUGGGUUCUGCUACAGAAUGUGAAGUCAUCCCUAUGAUUUCCAGCCCAAUAUACUUCAAUAAAUCAGAAGGUUGUGAGAAAAGCUGCUUCUGCUGCUAGGGCCUGUGCACUCACCUUUUUACUAAUGCCAUCCUGAAUGACUGUGGUAUGGUAGAGUCUGAGGAGCCCUUCUUGUGCAAGCCUCUGCACCAGGCGUAUGAUGGACUUCUUGCAGCAUUUUGUGGAGACACCUUCUUGCUUCUCUUGAUCCAUGACCAUCUUCUGAAGCCUAAAAGAUGCAACCAACUCCUUGAAUUUUAGGCAGUUCGCAGCAUUGCUGGGCUUAAGCAGUUUGUUAGAGGGUGUGGGGAGCCCUGUGCAUAUUGGCAUUCCAGGACCUUGUGUACUGACAGAAGAUGGAUGAGGCAACCCUAUUUGUGACAACAGAGUCCUGCCAACUGGGAAGCUGAGACUCCAGGAGAGCACCAGAAUUUUAGUUUCUCUUUGGAGGUGAACCUUAAAAUGUUGGAGGAUGUUACAAUAUCCAGGAAAGUUAUCUUCAGUCCAGACAAGGCAAGUUAAGAGAGGACAUACAACUAUAUCACACAGAACUGCAAAGAAGAGCAAACUUACAGGACCUUCCCAGAAUCCUGGUGACUACUGAUGGCUGCCAUGAAGAUAGAAGUCUCCACAGUCCAUGACACAGUAACACAUCAACAAGUUUUGCAGCUAUAAGGAAAUAAAACUUAGGCAGCAGGGGAGUGCUGCCUCUCAUUG